rnacentral:rRNA from 1 species
CUCCCUCGUUGCUGACCCCAGGUUCGAUAGUGCCAAUAAGACACGACCUCGCCAAGGACCAACUUCGAUGAAGCGACGGGCGGUGUGUGCAAGGAG